UGAGCGGCGCGGCGCGGGCGGGCCUGGCGCGGCUCAGGGCGCUCACACUGCUGACCUGCAGCCUGUGGCCGGCGCGGGCGGACAACGCGAGCCAUGAGUACUACAUGGCGCUCAUCAAUGUGACGGUGCAGGAGCCCGGCCGCGGUGCCCCGCUCAACGUUCCGCAUCGACCGCGGGUGCUACAGGCUCGACUCGCCAAAGGCCGAGUUGCGCGGUCAGGUGCUGGCAACGCUGCCCCUGCACGGAGAUAUAACCCUCAGUUAAGAACCAUGGAGAAGAGGCAUUUUCUACAGAAGACUUGAUUUGCAAUUCAUAUGCUACUCUAAGAGAGGGAAAAUUCAUCCCCCACCCUGCAGAGUUUGUGUAGUUUAACUUCUGCUCCACUAAUCUGGCUUGGAAAUGUAUUCUCCUCUUAAUUUGUGAAUGAAAUGAAAGGACACAUUAUAUCUCAGUAAUGCCACGAAUCAAUGUCUGGCAAAGCACUGGAAGUGAUCUCUGGUGAAUAUCACAGUAGUGGAAAGCAUGCAGUCUAGGCUGCCUGGAUUGAAUGUCAGCUUCACCCACUGUUCAAUGACCUUGGGCAAGUUACCAACUCUCU